rnacentral:rRNA from 1 species
GUAGGUGAACCUGCGGAAGGAUCAUUAUUGAAUAUAAACUUGGUAGACUGUUGCUGGCUUUCUUGCAUUGUGCACGUUUAUCAUCUUUAUUUUUCCACCUGUGCACCCUUUGUAGGCUUGGAUUUAUACUAAUCUGUCUUGUAGAAGACAUGUUUAUUGUGGGACUGCUGUGUUUAAACACACAUGAUGUUUAUCGGCUUUCCCUUUUAUUUUUCCAAGCCUAUGUUUUUCACAUCACACUCCAACAUUUUUAAUAGAAUGCUGUACUUUUAGGUCAUUCAUACCUAUUAUAAAAUCAAUACAACUUUCAGCAACGGAUCUCUUGGCUCUCGCAUCGAUGAAGAACGCAGCGAAAUGCGAUAAGUAAUGUGAAUUGCAGAAUUCAGUGAAUCAUCGAAUCUUUGAACGCACCUUGCGCUCCUUGGUAUUCCGAGGAGCAUGCCUGUUUGAGUAUCAUUAAAUUAUCAACUGUGCCAAUCAUUUUUGUUUGGUUUUACAGAUUGGAUAUGGGGGAAUUUUUUGCAGGCUUCUUUCUUUGGAAAGAAAGUCAGCUCUCCUGAAAUGCAUUAGCAGUGCCUUCUGUUGGUGUGAUAACUUAUCUUACGCCUUUACAUGGUACCUUCAUUGAAAAAUAUGAGGUCACAUACUGCUUCUAGUCGUCUCUUUUUUGAGACUUACAUUUUAUGACCAUCUUGAUCUCAAAUCAGGCAGGACUACCCGCUGAACUUA